rnacentral:lncRNA from 1 species
CUCAAUUGUUUUUGUAUGGUUCACAAUUCCUGCCGACACUGCUCAAUUCUAAGUGUAAUUGUUUUGAAUUCCUUGUUAUUGAGUGUCUUCAAAGGAGUCUUCAGGGCUUUAAGUCUGUCCCAUAUUGUUCUCAUGGUAUCUGUCUUCCCCUCCUGUCAUACUGUUGUCACAAUGUAUUGAAAAUCUCUGUGUUCAGCCCAUACAUUGAAGAAUUUGAAGUGCCUCUUUCCUUUCGAGGUGGAUGAUUUCAAUGUUAGUAUCAUUGGAUUAUGGUCUGAAAUUACUGGUACAUCAUACUCAGUGACCACCUGAUUCCAGGUGAUACUCCAGUCAUAAUUGUCAAACACUCUGUCAAGCCUGCUGCAUACUCUGUCCACACCAGUUUGCUUAU